rnacentral:rRNA from 1 species
CAGGACGAACGCUGGCGGCGUGCUUAACACAUGCAAGUCGAACGGGGAUAUUGAGGAAGGGUUUCGGCCUGGAAUUGGAUAUUCGAGUGGCGGACGGGUGAGUAACGCGUGAGCAACCUGUCCCAGACAGGGGGAUAACACUUGGAAACAGGUGCUAAUACCGCAUAAGACCACGGCAUCACAUGGUGCGGGGGUAAAAAGGUGCAAACCGGUUUGGGGUGGGCUCGCGUCCGAUUAGCCAGUUGGUGAGGUAACGGCCCACCAAAGCGACGAUCGGUAGCCGACCUGAGAGGGUGAUCGGCCACAUUGGAACUGAGAGACGGUCCAAACUCCUACGGGAGGCAGCAGUGGGGAAUAUUGGGCAAUGGGCGAAAGCCCUGACCCAGCAACGCCGCGUGAGUGAAGAAGGCUUUCGGGUUGUAAAGCUCUGUUAUAGGGGACGAAGAGCGUGACGGUACCCUAUAAGGAAGCCCCGGCUAACUACGUGCCAGCCGCCGC